rnacentral:rRNA from 1 species
UACCAGCUCUCCGAGUGGUAGGGAUGAUUAUUGGGCUUAAAGCGUCCGUAGCCGGCUUAGCAAGUCUCCUGUUAAAUUCAGCGACCUAAUCGUUGAGCCGCGGGAGAUACUACUAGGCUAGGAGGCGGGAGAGGUCGACGGUACUUCUGGGGUAGGGGUGAAAUCCUAUAAUCCCGGGAGGACCACCAGUGGCGAAGGCUGUCGACUAGAACGCGCUCGACGGUGAGGGACGAAAGCUGGGGGAGCGAACCGGAUUAGAUACCCGGGUAGUCCCAGCUGUAAACGAUGCGGGCUAGGUGUUGGGGUGGCUACGUGCCACUUCAGUGCCGCAGGGAAGCCAUUAAGCCCGCCGCCUGGGGAGUACGGCCGCAAGGCUGAAACUUAAAGGAAUUGGCGGGGGAGCACUACAAGGCGUGAAGCUUGCGGUUC